rnacentral:misc_RNA from 1 species
UAAAAAAAGCAUCCUAGGGCAGUCUUAUUAAAAGAUCAUCCUUCUAUUACAAUGCAAGAGAGGCUCUAAAUCAAACAAUUCCAUCCAGUUUCCACCUGUCAAAUAGUUGGAACUCUAAAAAGAACUUCCAACUUACCACCUUCCUCAGGUUAACAUCAACAUUUCAUGCUCAAAGCUUAAUUCAACUUUACACUCUCAUGGUUUCACAAAAAAACUGUCUUCAUAACAUUUAGCCUUCUAAAAUUGAAGUAUUGAUUAAUAUGAUAUGAAACCCCCUUCUACAUCAUUAUCUCACAAAAUACACAAGCAUGUUUCAUUGCUUGAUUAAAGGCCCAUUUAGUGGCUAAAAAAGUGCUUUUAGAAAAGCACCAUCUUAGAUGCUGUUGAGAAAAAAACAUAUUGAAA